AUAUACACUGAUUGUUGAAAAAAAGGGAAGUAUUAGCCGGUAGGGUUUUGGGGAUUUCCCGAUAGAAUUUGAUCGUCAUCGGCUCAGUUGCUUCCACUCUGCUAACACGCUAGUAUGCUGCGAACACUCAGAUUAUGCUAUUCGCAAUCUUCCAGCAUAGUUGCUGCUCCCAGAAUCACAUUCUUUGUUCAACAUCCGAUACUCCGCAGACACUUGAGCUCGGAAAUCUCAGAAAUCCAACCCAAUUUCACAAUCAAUUACCUCAUAAACUCAUGUGGGUUGUCCCCAAAAGGUGCGAUAUCAGCAUCCAAGUGGUUCGAGUUGCAAUCCCCAGAAAGAGCAGACUCCGUCUUGUCCUUCCUCAGAACCCAUGGAUUCUCCGAAAUCCAGAUCUCGAAGAUCGUCAGGUCAUGCACACAACUUCUUAACUCCAAUCCGGAGAAAACCCUUUUGCCAAAGCUUGAGUUUUUCAGGUCAAAUGGAGUUUCAAGGGAGGGCCUUGGAAAACUUCUGGCAAAUUAUCCACGGAUUUUGAGUGUGAGCUUGGAGAAACAGAUUGUACCCACUUAUAAAUUCCUUAGGAGUAUGAUUUCUGAGAAAAAUGCCGUUUCGGUUUUGAGACGGGGCUCAUGGUUUAUCUAUUCCAAGAAUUUGGUGCCAAAUCUUGAGAUGUUGAGAGAAUCAGGUAUGCCUCUACCCUGCAUUUCUCUGUUGCUUGCUCGUCAACCCACUGCUUUUGCACUGAAGCCUAAACUGCUUGUUGAGGUUGUGGAUAGGAUUGAGCAAAUGGGUUUUAAUAUGCAAACAUCAACUUCUGUGCAUGCAAUGUGUGUAUUAUUAGUGCGCUUUAACGAUAGUAACUCGGUAUGGAAUCGAAAUUGCGAAGUUUAUAAGAGGUGGGGUUGGUCUGAGGAUGAUGUUCUCUUUGCUUUCAGACGGUACCCGUUCUGUAUGAAUAAGUCGGAGACAAAAAUAGCGUCAGUAAUGGAUUUUUUAGUGAACAAGAUGGGAUGGCCGCAGAGAUCAAUUGUCAAAUACCCGACUGUCAUGGGUCUCAGUAUGGAGAGUAGAAUUAUACCAAGGUGUUUGGUCGUGAAAGUUUUGGUGUUGAAAGGAUUGAUAAAGGAAAUUGAAAAUGUGGGUUUGAGUUCGUUGUUGGCACCUGCGGAGGAGUGUUUUUUGGAUAAGUUUGUGUUCAGAUAUAUAGAUGAAGUACCUCAAUUGUUAAGCGUGUAUGAAGGAAAAGUGGAAAUCCAGGAUGUAUGAUGUUGGUAGGAGCUGCAGUACUGGUCAUUGUCAUUGGUAGCAGCUAGCUUUUGGCCCAGUGUUAGUGGAGGAGUUUGGAUUUGAGAUAAUGAUUCAAAUUAUGAAUAAGACUACAAAUAAUACUUGUGAUUGGCUUCACUAGUUGGCUUUGAAGUGAUUCCCCAUCUGUCUGGUGCUGUCACAAUCUACAUAUAGGCUGGCCAAGGUGCUGCAGGAAAGUGAACGAGGAAGAGAGCAAGAGAUUUUGCCUUACAAACACCAUUAAAACCAAGUAGAAGAAAGUAGAUGGCGGGCAGUUCCGUUAAAAGUUCGUGUUUAUUUUCUGGAUUACUGGUUGGAAUAGGACUUCUAAAGCUAGAGAUAGUUCAUCAAACUAAACAUUGAGUCGUCCAUAGUUUGAAUGGCGAAAUUGUGUUUCCAUGCCUGAAAUAAAGUUACCGGAGGAAGGAAAAACAGGUUUUGGGCCACACCCUUUAGUUGACUUGUGUUAAAUCUGAUGCAUAUUUGAAUUAUAUAUUUCCUUGGAAUUCCAUAUCCAUAGGAAGAUAGGGACUGCAAUGCAAGAGUAGUUUAGAUUAGCAGAGAGAUGAACUAGCCUCAGGCGUGCCACUUGUAUGACCCGGAGUCCGGACUCCAAGUGCAUUGCUACUUAUAACCAUUUUGACUUCUAAAUCUGUUGUGUUUUGUGAA